ACUAGCGUAAAUCCCUAUGUUUUAUUUGGUUACUGUACUUACGCCGUGCCAGCGGCGGCGGGCUGCACACUCAAAGAGAGGUAUUAGAAAGAUAUUAGAGAGGUAUUACAUCUAUCCACCAAUUUUUCGUCAAUCUCGACUUUUUAUUCAACCAAAAAUCGACCCUAUUAUUACUGUACUGUGAUCGUUAUUUGUAGGGUCGUAUGCUGAUUGUGGUUUUACCACGGUAAAACCAAGAUCACCUAUAGACAAAAUUAUUGCCGACGAAGUUUAUAAAAAACGACCUUAUUAUUAUUGCACUGUGAUCGUUAUUUGUAGAGUGAAAGCUGAUUGUCUAUUUGUGAUCGUAGUUUUACCACGGUAUUCCGUCAGUCAGCAUACGGCCCUACAAAUAACGAUCGCAUUGUAGUAAUAAUAAGGUCGAUUUUUGUUAGAAUAAAAAGUCAUGAUUGACGAAUGUUGGAUAGAUGUAAUAAUUAUCUCUCUAUUUAAUUUGUUCAUGGUGGCUACUCGAAGCGUGCAUAUCUUUGUGUGGAAGUAAAAAACCCAAGGAUUAUACGUAUGCUCAACUUGGACAAAAUCGAAGAUGGUGAGUUAUUUACUUAUAAAUAGACUAGCUAGAUUUUAGGUACCUAUUACCUUACCUACUUAGUAUAUUACUAUUUAUUAGACUAUUAAUAUUAUUACCUACCUACCUGACGACCUACUUGACGUAAGUUGGUUUGGUUAAUGCGUGAUGAUGAUUGCACUGCUCUGUACUAAUUAUUAAAGUAAACUAAGCAUGCCUAUGUGCCUAUUCGGUGCUUUUAAUCUAUAAACUAACUACCUAUUUAAAUUGGGGUGUGCCGUUUUUGUACAUUCGCUAUCACCUGGCAUAGCACCUGGUAUAUGAAUAAAAUAAAGAUAUUUGAACAAAAAACUGUUACGUGAUCAACUGUAGUAUUUCGGCUUGGUUGUGAAUUAUCUACCUAGGUAUAUAAGUUAACUUUUGCAAAAACACCCUUGAUUUUGUUGUUAUUUGUGCGCUUGAGUUUGAUACACAUUUUAUUAUUAACGCAUUGGUACUAACCUUCUAUUUAAUACCUAAAUAACGAUAAAAUAUCUAGGUUUGUGUCUAAUUUUUAGGGUGAUUUGGUAAUGGGUCCUUUUUAUUGCUUAACGUCUAUUAUGUACCUACCUACAAACAAUGUAUUUAAACCAUUAUGUUCCAAUUAACAGAUUCCACUAAUACUGCAUCCCAAUCCAGUACAACCCAGUGGAAGAAUGACCAGAAAUGCAAAAAUAUUUCAAGAAACUAUGGGAUAUCUUCUCGUCGUAGUCAACAUGAGACACAUUCUCUUGAAGGUUCUACCGAAAAGCAAAGAGGGGGUGAUCGGAAAGGAGCAAAAUGUUCAAGAAAACACUUAAUGACUAACUGUAAUAACUGAAAAUGAAGGUUUUUCUAAUAAAGGCAAGUGCCAUACCGUAUUAAUAUAUUUUGUGAUUAUGCAUGUAUUAAUUAAUAAACGUUUUAAAAUUAAAA